UGUUCUCAGGGCGGGGCGAAAUUCCCCACCGGCGGUAUGCGGGCUCAUCCCCGUAAGCCCGCGAGCGGCUUUUGCUGUGUCCACGAUCCAAAAAGUGGGAACCGGUUUUUGGAUAAAUUGUGGAACACUGGCAAAAGUGUCAGCAGAUCUGGUGUGAUUCCAGAGCCGACGGUCAUAGUCCGGAUGG
rnacentral:ncRNA from 1 species